UACGGAGGGUGCGAGCGUUGUCCGGAAUCAUUGGGCGUAAAGGGCGCGUAGGUGGCCCGGUCAGUUCGUGGUGAAAGCGCGGGGCUCAACCCUGCGUCGGCCAUGAAUACUGCCGCGGCUGGAGCACUGUAGAGGCAGGCGGAAUUCCGGGUGUAGCGGUGGAAUGCGUAGAGAUCCGGAAGAACACCGGUGGCGAAGGCGGCCU
rnacentral:rRNA from 1 species